AGAGUUUGAUCAUGGCUCAGAAUGAACGCUGGCGGCGUGCCUAACACAUGCAAGUCGAGCGAGAAAGUCUCGUUCGGAGAUAAGUACAGCGGCGGACGGGUGAGUAACGCGUGAGAAUUUACCCUUUAGUGAAGAAUACCUCUGAGAAAUCAGGGUUAAUACUGCAUACGUCCCUACGGGGAGAAAGGUGGCCUCUUUGCUGCCGCUAAAGGAUAAGCUUGCGUACUAUUAGCUAGUUGGUGAGGUAAAGGCUCACCAAGGCGAUGAUGGUUAGCCGGGCCUGAGAGGGUGUACGGCCACACUGGAACUUAGACACGGUCCAGACUCCUACGGGAGGCAGCAGUGAGGAAUAUUGCGCAAUGGGCGAAAGCCUGACGCAGCGACGCCGCGUGGAGGAUGAAGGUCUUCGGAUUGUAAACUCCUGUUAAGUGGGAAGAAAGACCUAUUUCUAAUACAGAUAGGGGAUGACGGUACCAUUAGAGAAAGCACCGGCUAACUUCGUG
rnacentral:rRNA from 1 species